CGCUGGCGGCGUGCUUAACACAUGCAAGUCGAGCGGAAAGGCCCUUUCGGGGGUACUCGAGCGGCGAACGGGUGAGUAACACGUGAGUAAUCUGCCCUUGGCUUUGGGAUAACUACCGGAAACGGUGGCUAAUACCGGAUAUGACCAUGCUCGGCAUCGGGUGUGGUGGAAAGUUUUUUCGGCCAGGGAUGUGCUCGCGGCCUAUCAGCUUGUUGGUGGGGUAAUGGCCUACCAAGGCUUCGACGGGUAGCCGGCCUGAGAGGGUGACCGGCCACACUGGGACUGAGACACGGCCCAGACUCCUACGGGAGGCAGCAGUGGGGAAUAUUGGACAAUGGGCGGAAGCCUGAUCCAGCAACGCCGCGUGAGGGAUGACGGCCUUCGGGUUGUAAACCUCUUUCAGUACCGACGAAGCGCCGAUGAUGGUGGUGACGGUAGGUACAGAAGAAGCACCGGCCAACUACGUG
rnacentral:rRNA from 1 species